GGGGGUAUAGCUGAGUGGUAGAGCAUUUGACUGCAGAUCAAGAGGUCCCCGGUUCAAAUCAAAGCUGAGUUG
rnacentral:tRNA from 1 species